CCGCCGGGCCGUGAGGAGCGGGCCCCCUCGCUCCGUCCCCGCUUCAGCAGGUGCGGGCACGUCCGGCACAGAGGGCCGAGGAGGAUGGAUCCGUUUAAUUUUUUAUGUCACGCAAGAAUUAGACACGGAGUUGUCAGAUCAGCUCAGCUGCCGGACGCGUGUAAAUCCUGAUGCCAUUUAAAACCUCGUUCUUUUGUCAGAAUGGAGGAGAAUAUCAGCUUGAAGUUCCCGGGCCCAGGCUUUGCUGACUCCUCUGUGCUGAUGUAGACUGGCUGUGAACGCACCUUUAGUAAAACGCUGUUCGUGGUUAUAUUUCUGUUGAUCCAGAUUCAGCGAUGACCCAGUGAAUGCAGCAGAAAUGUGUUUCUGUGAGCCAAGUAUCAAGACAUCAGGGAGUGGGAAUGGUCGUGAUAACUGGCUUGGUGUUAUGUUGGCUCACUCCUACAGUGUUUGUGUAAAUUGGCCCCGAAACAAGGAGAAAAUAAACAAUUUUACCACUCCAUUUGUUCUGCUGUUGGUGGUGCUGCAGCGCUGUUUGUACUUAGUUUCAAAGGACAGUAUGGCUAUGGGAAAAUAGAUUUGAAACAGGAAGCACAAUAUACAAGGGACAUCAAGAAAUAAACAAGAAAGCACCAGCCUCAGAACAUGUUCAAAGAAGUAGGUUGAUGGACCUCAGCAGAGAGACAGCUCAGGGCAGCAUCACCCGCACAGAAAUUUGGAAAGGGAACACUUCAGUACUGAAGAUAAAGCUGGAGGGCAACCAUCACUGCAUGAACCCUAAAGCAUCUUUUUGAGAGCCUGGAGUUUGAUAUCCACUAAUACCUAGAAACUGAGGAUCCACUGCCCUGUCUGCACUGCUCAGGUUUAUAAUAAAGAUGGUCCCAUCCCCAGAGAACUAGUGCUGUUAGUGGUCAUGGAAUAGCCAAGAGACUGGCAUAUUAAGUGAAAGUAAAGAUUUAUAAUCUGG